AAAGAAUUAGUUAAAUAAAUAACAUAAAUAUGUCAAAUUUAAAUUAUUAAUAAAUAAUAUUCUUUU
rnacentral:tRNA from 1 species